rnacentral:rRNA from 1 species
UACGUAGGUGGCAAGCGUUGUCCGGAUUUACUGGGCGUAAAGAGCGCGCAGGCGGUCGGAUAAGUCGAAUGUGAAAGCCCCCGGCUCAACUGGGGAGGGUCAUUCGAUACUGUUCGACUGGAAGGCAGGAGAGGGAAGCGGAAUUCCCGGUGUAGUGGUGAAAUGCGUAGAUAGUCGGGAGGAACACCAGUGGCGAAGGCGGCUUCCUGGCCUGUUCUUGACGCUGAGGCGCGAAAGCUAGGGGAGCAAACGGGG